GACGAACGCUGGCGGCGUGCUUAACACAUGCAAGUCGAACGGAAAGGCCCUGCUUUUGUGGGGUGCUCGAGUGGCGAACGGGUGAGUAACACGUGAGUAACCUGCCCUUGACUUUGGGAUAACUUCAGGAAACUGGGGCUAAUACCGGCUAGGAGCUCCUGCUGCAUGGUGGGGGUUGGAAAGUUUCGGCGGUUGGGGUUGGACUCGCGGCUUAUCAGCUUGUUGGUGGGGUAGUGGCUUACCAAGGCUUGGACGGGUAGCCGGCCUGAGCGGGGGAGCGGCCAAAUCGGACCGGAGAUACGGCCCAGACUCCUACGGGAGGCAGCGGUGGGGAAGGUUGCACAAUGGGCGGAAGCCUGAUGCAGCAACGCAGCGUGCGGGAUGACGUCCUUCGGGUUGUAAACCGCUUUCGCCUGUGACGAAGCGUGAGUGACGGUAAUGGGUAAAGAAGCACCGGCUAACUACGUG
rnacentral:rRNA from 1 species